CCUACGGGUGGCAGCAGUGGGGAAUAUUGGGCAAUGGGCGCAAGCCUGACCCAGCAACGCCGCGUGAAGGAAGAAGGCUUUCGGGUUGUAAACUUCUUUUAUGAGGGACGAAAGAAAUGACGGUACCUCAUGAAUAAGCCACGGCUAACUACGUGCCAGCAGCCGCGGUAAUACGUAGGUGGCAAGCGUUAUCCGGAUUUACUGGGUGUAAAGGGCGUGUAGGCGGGACUGCAAGUCAGAUGUGAAAAUUAUGGGCUCAACCCAUAACCUGCAUUUGAAACUGUAGUUCUUGAGUGAUGGAGAGGCAGGCGGAAUUCCGUGUGUAGCGGUGAAAUGCGUAGAUAUACGGAGGAACACCAGUGGCGAAGGCGGCCUGCUGGACAUUAACUGACGCUGAGGCGCGAAAGCGUGGGGAGCAAACAGGAUUAGAUACCCUUGUAGUC
rnacentral:rRNA from 1 species